UGAUAUGUGUGACAAAACAUACCAACUGGUGUCAACAUCAGCUAGGCUAUGUUGGCAUUUUCUGAUGGUUCUUCAUGACUGAUCAUAAGUUUCUUAUGGAUCCCCAGUUGCUGCCUCCUUCUGAAGCACAGGUUAUUAGAGAGGCUGAAAACCAGACUGGAACAGGCUCUUCAAAGGCAGCCUCUGGACCUGGACUAUUUAG